rnacentral:rRNA from 1 species
UGCAGCAGUGACAGCACGUUGAAUACAACAGUUUCCAAUUAAUCACUGAAGUUAAACAAAAUUUUUCGUGGUUAGUAUCCGGACGGGUGACCAUGUGGGUAAUUACGUGCACGUGGUUA